rnacentral:lncRNA from 1 species
UUCUAGUCAAUCUCUUCUCUUUUUCUCCACAAUGCAUCUUUAACCUUUCUUGGAUUAUCGAAACACCAGGUGUUACAGUAGGGGUGGGUGCGAGGAGGAGGAGGAGGCAGGAGACGGGUAGCAAGCCGCGGUAGGGACGGUGGCAGAGUAGGAGGAGGAAAGGGUGGGUGCGUGGAGUAGGAGGAAGGGGAGGAGUCCGAGCGUCGACCCGCGAGGAGGAGAUCGGGACGUUAACCCGCGGCGGCGGCCUCUGCCGGGAUGGUGGGGCAGAGGAGGUAGGGGCAAGGCAGAGGGGGAGAGGGGAGGCGACGAGGUAUAGAACGAGGGGAGGAGAGACAGAUAUGAUAGGAGGUGGGAAUGGG